AAAUUGAAGAGUUUGAUCAUGGCUCAGAUUGAACGCUGGCGGCAGGCCUAACACAUGCAAGUCGAACGGUAACAGGAAGCAGCUUGCUGCUUCGCUGACGAGUGGCGGACGGGUGAGUAAUGUCUGGGAAACUGCCCGAUGGAGGGGGAUAACUACUGGAAACGGUAGCUAAUACCGCAUAACGUCGCAAGACCAAAGAGGGGGACCUUCGGGCCUCUUGCCAUCGGAUGUGCCCAGAUGGGAUUAGCUGGUAGGUGGGGUAACGGCUCACCUAGGCGAC
rnacentral:rRNA from 1 species